GAUGAAGAACGCAGCGAAAUGCGAUAAGUAAUGUGAAUUGCAGAACUCAGUGAAUCAUCGAAUCUUUGAACGCACAUUGCGCCCUUUGGUAUUCCUUAGGGCAUGCCUGUUCGAGCGUCAUUUAAACCUUCAAGCUAAGCUUGGUGUUGGGUGACUGUCCGCUUCACGGCGGACUCGCCUCAAAAUUAUUGGCGGCCGGUACAUUGGCUUCGAGCGCAGCAGAAACGCGAACUCGGGCCCGUCGUAUUGGCUCCCAGAAGCUAUCUUCACAAUUUUGACCUCGGAUCAGGUAGGGAUACCCGCUGAACUUAAGCAUAUCAAUAAGCGGAGGA
rnacentral:misc_RNA from 1 species